GUUAAUAAUAGUUCAUUUCUGAAGUGAGUUCAACAAAAGACAGCUUUGACCAUUCUUUUAGUUUCCUUUCAUUGGUGUGACUAUCGUACAUCUUCUUUUUCUUCUAUUUUUUUUAAAGCAGAUUGUCUGGAACUCUAAGUUUUAUAAGAACUCCUCUAGAGUCUUUGGGUGAAACUAGACGAUAACAUCAAGCUACACGAUUUCUAUAAAGAGAUCUCAGGGAUACCAUUGAAGAGUCCUUUAAAUUUUGCAUUCAGCUUAAUCCAAAAAGGUUGUCUCCUUUCAAACUCCUGACAGAUACCUGUUGGGUAGAUUCUAUAGAGGAUAUUCAAUGUGAUCAUACCAAAAAUCUAGAAAGAAAUUACUUAAGCCAAGAAAGAUAGAGAAAGAUACCAAACUUUGGAGGCAACAAGCUUAUCUUUAAUCAUUAUGAUUACAUCCAUGGGUGUAGUCAAACACUGAAACAGCAAUCAAUUAUGGAAACCUUCCAAAUACCAACACUUCUAUGAUGACAGAGGAAAUGAACUAUAUACUCAUUUUUAAGAAUCAGAUUGCCUAGAAAAGAAUGGUUAAAGAUAAAUGGUUAUAAGUUAUGAAGAGGAUACAGUAGGAAUAUUCCCAGUACAGAGACAAUAUCUGGAUUUCAUCUGUGAACUUAAUGGAGACUUAGUGAAAAUCAAUGGCUCAGUCAUUCACAGACAAUGCAGAUCCAACAAACCACAACUAGCACAGACUAACACAAAACUGGGAAAUAAUUUAAGCUGGUUGGAAACUAAAAGACACCUCCUUUUCUGAAACAUAAGUGAACCCACUGCAUGAUGAUAUAUCUUGUUAAAAUAUUAGUAAGAAUUUCUAUAUUGAUUCAUUCUCUAUAUAAACAUUGUUACCUCCAGUUUCAUGUGCUGAAACUUCCUUAGAUAGAAUUAUUUUAUCAUGUAAACUCAUUAUUCUCCUGGAAUUUUAUAUUUUCUGCAAUUUUUUUCAUUGUUUCUCUGGAAAAUAUAUAGUUCUUUUUAGAAACAAGUUCUCUAGCCCAGGCUGGCCUUGAUGUGCCUAUGUUGCUGGUGAGGAUGUCUUAUCUCCAAUUCAUCAAUCCAGGAAAUACAGGUUCAUGCCAGCAUUCCUAGUUUAUAUGCUGCUGGGGUCGAACCGUACAAUCAUGCAUGCUUAGAAGCACUCUACAGAAGUUAUAGUGCCACUAUUUUUUACUAGCUGGGUUUAAUUUACAUUAGCCUUGAAUAUAGAAAUAACAAUCCAUAUUUUCCAUUUCUUUAAUCUGGAAAGAUGCAGUGCACAUCUAUGAUAUAUUGGGUUUAUUCUAUUAAACAAUUUAUCUUGGUUAUUAAUGAUUCUAGUCUGAAAUAAUGCACGCCAAACCUACACUUUUGAUAGUUUUGUAGUUGUUGUUGCUUUCUAACUUCCUAAUGGCCACAUAGUAAUAUCUUUGGAGUAGACUAAAAUAUAUACUUAGGUCUAAAUUGGGUUCUCAGCCCCAAGAAGCAUUGAGAUCUAUAAAGAUCCAGACAUGGCCAAGGGGCAUAAGGAAACACUAUUCCAGCUACAAACCUUUCAGAGAGUAGUGACUAUCCAACAAAGUGCUAUCACAUUAUACUAUACCUGUGUUCAAAUCUGCUAAAGCAUGCUGAGAAUUGAUUCAGCAAAGAUCUACGUGACUGCAAUGUCUCAUGUCUUGAUUUAAACCACAAUAUUUUAGGAACUGUGUGAGCAGUUUGGUGAAAUGAACAACCAUAAAGAAGCUCACAAGAAGUCUUGCAAAUACUUAUUUUAAAUUGAAGGCCCAAAUCCAUACUAUUGACUUAGUGGGUCUGUAGCAAUAAGAAUGAAACAACUAUAAGAGUUGUUAACACAUAUUUCAAUGCAAUGCGUCGGAUGUUAUUGUCUCUGAUGACAAAAAGAGAUUAUAAUAGUGUUUAUGUCUCAGCUGUUAUAACUUUUUGAGCCCGAAUACUAUCUGCACAUAAAGGAAGUCCUGGGGUUCUGCAGCUAUGAAAUCGCCUCUGAAUAGUACCUGGGGGAACAGUAGACAUGAUCUGAAGGAGCUUCUUCUAUAUUGUAAGCGUUCCACCAAUCAUUUCUCCACUAACUCAUCCCCUAGCUUCCUUUCUUCCAGUGUUCAUUGAAGUCACUGUUUUGUAUUGUUUUUUUAACUUUUUUACACUUCAGCAAAUGUUCCUCCUCAGCCAAAAUUAUGAGGAUCAAAGUUCAUAGCUGUUUACUGAACUCUUGUCUAACACAUGCAUGACAGAGUGUUAAACUAAAAAUACCCAGCAAACUGCUUACAUUCUUCUUCUGCUGUGACAGGAAAAGGGCGCCUUACAUAAAUGUGCCCUUUCCAAGGUAAAGGAACUUCUCUUAUGAUUCCACGCAUCAUUCGUAAGUGGACUUGAUAGUCCACUUUUAGUUGACUACAUUAUUAACAAUAUCAGGUUGCUAGUUCUUAACUCCAUGGCAUGUAAUUUGGUUGCUGGACAUAAAUACAUUUUGGAGAGCAGAUCUGUAACUGAACGUUUGACUUUAAAGCCACUGUCUGUCACUUCGUUCUUGUCAUUACUCUUCAUAGGAAAUAUUCUUGGAGAAAACUCACAGGUUUUGGCAGCUGGGAGCUUAAUGUGAAAUGCCUUCCAGGCAUAAAAUACAAGCACCAGAACUACAGCUGAAGCAUUUUACGGUUUUAUUUUUGUGUUUAGGUAGAAAUGAAGAGGACAUAAAAAUGAGAAGUAAAAUAAAUUCUGCUCUCAUAAUUUGAUGUGUCUUUCAAAGUCCAUGUUUGAAAGGAAAUCAUUACCGACCUCUCACAAUGCUGUCAGCCCAGCAAGUAAAAUUUCCGUUUCCUGUCAGUUACCUAAAAUGUGUAAGAUUCGGUGAUUUACCGAAGUGUACUGUUUUUGUAUUAGAGAUUUAGUGAUCAGCCGAUCUACUUAAAAUAUGUUGAAUUUUCAGAAAUGUGUGAUGUCAUCAUUAAACUGAAACACCAAAAACAUUCCAUCCAUUUAUGAUUUAUGGC
rnacentral:lncRNA from 1 species